GACGAACGCUGGCGGCGUGCCUAAUACAUGCAAGUCGAGCGAGUCUGCCUUGAGGAUCGGAGUGCUUGCACUCUGUGAAACAAGCUACAGGCUAGCGGCGGACGGGUGAGUAACACGUGGGUAACCUGCCCAAGAGAUCGGGGUAACACCUGGAAACAGAUGCUAAUACCGGCUAACAACAGAUUAUGCCUAUCACCUGUUUAAAAGGUGGUUCUGCUUUCACUCUUGGAUGGAUCUGCGGUGCAUUAGCUAGUUGGUAGGGUAACGGCCUACCAAGGCGAUGAUGCAUAGCCGAGUUGAGAGACUGAUCGGCCACAUUGGAACUGAGACACGGCCCAAACUCCUACGGGAGGCAGCAGUAGGGAAUCUUCCACAAUGGACGCAAGUCUGAUGGAGCAACGCCGCGUGAGUGAAGAAGGGUUUCGGCUCGUAAAGCUCUGUUGUUGGUGAAGAAGGACAGGGGUAGUAACUGACCUUUGUUUGACGGUAAUCAAUGAGAAAGUCACGGCUAACUACGUG
rnacentral:rRNA from 1 species